rnacentral:rRNA from 1 species
CUACGGGACGCAGCAGUGAGGAAUUUUGCGCAAUGGGGGAAACCCUGACGCAGCAACGCCGCGUGAGCGAAGAAGGCCUUCGGGUCGUAAAGCUCUGUCAAGUGGGAAAAAAAUUCUUUGAUGAACAGUCAAAGGACUUGAUGGUACCACUGGAGGAAGCACCGGCUAACUCCGUGCCAGCAGCCGCGGUAAUACGGAGGGUGCAAGCGUUGUUCGGAAUUACUGGGCGUAAAGAGCGUGUGGGCGGUUUGACAAGUCAGAUGUGAAAGCCCCGGGCUCAACCCGGGAAGUGCAUUUGAAACUGUUUCACUAGAGUAUGGGAGAGGAGAUUGGAAUUCCUGGUGUAGAGGUGAAAUUCGUAGAUAUCAGGAGGAACACCCGUGGCGAAGGCGAUUCUCUGGACCAAUACUGACGCUGAGACGCGAAAGCGUGGGGAGCAAACAGGAUUAGAUACCCUCGUAGUC